rnacentral:rRNA from 1 species
UGCAGUCGAGCGGAGAUGAGGUGCUUGCACCUUAUCUUAGCGGCGGACGGGUGAGUAAUGCUUAGGAAUCUGCCUAUUAGUGGGGGACAACAUUCCGAAAGGAAUGCUAAUACCGCAUACGCCCUACGGGGGAAAGCAGGGGAUCUUCGGACCUUGCGCUAAUAGAUGAGCCUAAGUCGGAUUAGCUAGUUGGUGGGGUAAAGGCCUACCAAGGCGACGAUCUGUAGCGGGUCUGAGAGGAUGAUCCGCCACACUGGGACUGAGACACGGCCCAGACUCCUACGGGAGGCAGCAGUGGGGAAUAUUGGACAAUGGGCGGAAGCCUGAUCCAGCCAUGCCGCGUGUGUGAAGAAGGCCUUUUGGUUGUAAAGCACUUUAAGCGAGGAGGAGGCUACUUAGAUUAAUACUCUAGGAUAGUGGACGUUACUCGCAGAAUAAGCACCGGCUAACUCUGUGCCAGCAGCCGCGGUAAUACAGAGGGUGCGAGCGUUAAUCGGAUUUACUGGGCGUAAAGCGUGCGUAGGCGGCUGAUUAAGUCGGAUGUGAAAUCCCUGAGCUUAACUUAGGAAUUGCAUUCGAUACUGGUCAGCUAGAGUAUGGGAGAGGAUGGUAGAAUUCCAGGUGUAGCGGUGAAAUGCGUAGAGAUCUGGAGGAAUACCGAUGGCGAAGCAGCCAUCUGGCCUAAUACUGACGCUGAGGUACGAAAGCAUGGGGAGCAAACAGGAUUAGAUACCCUGGUAGUCCAUGCCG